AAUAUUGCGCAAUGGGGGAAACCCUGACGCAGCAACGCCGCGUGGAGGAAGAAGGCCUUCGGGUCGUAAACUCCUGUCUUUUGGGACGAUAAUGACGGGACCAAAGGAGGAAGCCACGGCUAACUACGUCCCAGCAGCCGCGGUAAUACGUAGGUGGCGAGCGUUGUCCGGAAUUACUGGGCGUAAAGGGUGCGUAGGCGGUUAUUUAAGUCAGAUGUGAAAUUCCGGGGCUCAACUUCGGAAUUGCAUUUGAAACUGGGUAGCUAGAGUGCAGGAGAGGGAAGCGGAAUUCCUAGUGUAGCGGUGAAAUGCGUAGAUAUUAGGAAGAACACCAGUGGCGAAGGCGGCUUCCUGGACUGUAACUGACACUGAGGCAUGAAAGCGUGGGUAGCAAACAGG
rnacentral:rRNA from 1 species